rnacentral:rRNA from 1 species
GAUUGACCUCGGAUCAGGUAGGGAUACCCGCUGAACUUAAGCAUAUCAAUAAGCGGAGGAAAAGAAACCAACAGGGAUUGCCUCAGUAACGGCGAGUGAAGCGGCAACAGCUCAAAUUUGAAAUCUGGCUCCUUCGGGGCCCGAGUUGUAAUUUGUAGAGGACGUUUCGGGUGCGGCCCGGUCUAAGUCCCUUGGAACAGGGCGUCAUAGAGGGUGAGAAUCCCGUAUGUGACCGGUGACCAACCCCAUGUGAAACCCCUUCGACGAGUCGAGUUGUUUGGGAAUGCAGCUCAAAAUGGGUGGUAAAUUCCAUCUAAAGCUAAAUACUGGCCAGAGACCGAUAGCGCACAAGUAGAGUGAUCGAAAGAUGAAAAGCACUUUGGAAAGAGAGUCAAACAGUACGUGAAAUUGUUGAAAGGGAAGCGCUGGCAACCAGACCUGCCCCGGGCGAUCAGCGGGUGUUCUCACCCGUGCACUCGCCCGCGAUCAGGCCAGCAUCGGUUUCGGCGGUCGGAUACAGACCCGGGGAACGUGGCUCUCUUCGGGGAGUGUUAUAGCCCCGGGUGCAAUGCGGCCAGCCGGGACCGAGGACCGCGCUUCGGCUAGGAUGCUGGCGUAAUGGUUGUCAGCGACCCGUCUUGAAACACGGACCAAGGAGUCUAACAUCUAUGCGAGUGUUUGGGUGUCAAACCCAUACGCGGAAUGAAAGUGAACGCAGGUGGGAGCCCCCCCGGGGUGCACCAUCGACCGAUCCUGAUGUCUUCGGAUGGAUUUGAGUAUGAGCAUACAUGUUGGGACCCGAAAGAUGGUGAACUAUACCUGAAUAGGGUGAAGCCAGAGGAAACUCUGGUGGAGGCUCGCAGCGGUUCUGACGUGCAAAUCGAUCGUCAAAUUUGGGUAUAGGGGCGAAAGACUAAUCGAACCAUCUAGUAGCUGGUUCCUGC